AUGUUCUCCCAGCCCCCACAGCAUGUGGCUGCGGCUCUGCUCAGCCCUCGGCCCCACCGCCACGGGGCCGUGCUGGGAGAUGAAAGGAGCCCCCCCGCCCCCGUCCCCCCGGCUCCCCGCCCCAACGGCGGCCGGGGGCAGCCCCGGGCACUGCCCCAGGGCUCCGGUACCGGGGGGCUCCGGUCCCCGUGGCGCCGCUCCGGGGGGAGGCGAGGGGCUGCAGCGGGCGGGGGCCGGGGCGCACCGCCCCCGGGGGGCACUGCCCUGCUCCGGGACCGGCACCGGGACCGCGGCCGGGCCGGGCGGGGGCGGCCCCGUGGCGGAGCCGCGUCCCGGCGGGCGGCACCGGCGCGGCCCGGGGGGAGGGCGCUGGCGGCCGCCCGGUGCCCACGUGGUUUCUCGGUGGCUCCGGAGCGGAAGAAACGGCGGCGGCCGGGGCCGGGGCUGCGGCGGGGGCGGUCGGGACCGGGGCUGGAACCGGGACCGGGGCUGACACCGGCACCGACACCGCGACCGGGGCCGGGGGGAAGGAGCCGCAUCCCGGCGGGCGCCGCCGCCGCCGCGCCUCCCGGUGAGUGCGGGGCCUGGGCCGGGGGCGGGCAGCGGGGGAGGGAACCGGAACCGGGCUCCCCCCGCCCGGGCCGGGCUCGCCGCGGCCCCGCUGCUGCCCGGCGGCUCCCGGCCUCCUCGGGCCCGUUCCCGGCCCCGCUGCCGUCCCCUCCUCCGGCCCGGCCCCCUCCCGUUCCCGGCCCCUUGCCCGUCCCCGUCGCCAUCCUCGCUCGCCCCCCCCGGGCCCCGUCUUUGUCCCCAUCCCCGCCCCGCUGCCCACCCCGACCCCUCCUGCGCCUUUGUCCCCGGCUCCAUCCCUGGCCCCGACCCCCCCCCCGGUUCCCCCUGCCGCCCCCCGCCCCCCCCCCCGGUGCCGUGCGGGCUCCCGGGCAGCCCCGGCAGGGGGGAGUCUGGGGGGGGGCUCGGGGCGCGUUGCCGGGGGCGCCGAAGAGCCGCAGACCCCGGGGUCGCGGGGGUGUCCCCCCCCCCCCCCCAGCCUCGUGCACACGCACGUGCGCGCCGCCGCACCGGGGCCUCGUGCCCGCCGCGCCCCCGGCCCGCUCCGGGACCCCCGGGCUCGCCGCUUCUCCCGGGGUGCGCCCCCCGCCCGCUCGCCCCCCUCGUACCUGCACGGCCGCCAGCCCCCCCCGCAGCCCCCCAGCCCUGGGGAGCCGGGUGCCGGAGCUGGCCCCGUCCCUGCCCGCUCCCAUCGCCGUGCCGGGGGGCUGCAGCCCCGGUUUCGCUCUCUUUAACGGCGUCCGCAGGCCUCCCGGAGGGGCCGGCUGCUGGCAGCCAGGAGGGAGCGAAGCCGCCCGGAGCCUCGGGGACCUCCUGCCGCGGCCCUGGAGCCCGAUGCCAUCGCCGCCGCCUCGCACUGAGCCUCUCGCGGCCGACCCGCCGAGCGCCCGCCGGCCGCAGCUCGCUGCCCGCGCCUGA
rnacentral:lncRNA from 1 species